AUGGCCACCGUCGACGCCUCUCUCUGGUGGGACCCCUUCUCUCUCUUACUCACCGACCUCGAGAACGCUCCUCUCUCCGACGAGCUCCCUCCCAAUCUGGUCAAGAAAUUGAAGGCCAAUCACGCCUGGUUCGUCGACACAGUCUCCCUCUUCAAGCCGCCCAGCGAGAAAUCGAAGGCCGCUUUGGAUUCACAGCUCGUCAAAAUCGGCUCUCACCAGCUGGAUGUCAAGCCUGAAUUGAAAGACAAGGCUCUCACUAUCAGCUCCUAUUUGUGUCUAGAUGAGGUGCAAUCGUACAUUCUCGUGGAGAGGUCUCUUAAGGAAAACAAUGUAGCUCUUGACUCUGAGGCGCACGAGUAUGUUCAUGCGGUGUUGAUUCACUAUUACAUUGAGCGGCAGUGCUUGCUGAAGUGUACCAGGAGUAUUCUCAUGCUUGCUUGAAUUGACUCUGAAGAACGUAACAGUAUUAAGGAGGAAGCACUGAAGUUGAUUUCUGAUGGAUUGGAGAAGAAAUUAAUAUAUGUGCUGCAAGACCUUUUAUCUUCCAAUCCCCCUGAAGAAAUGGAUGUUGAUCUUUUCAGUUUGUGGGCUGAGGAGACACUAAUCGAAGACAAUUUGGUUUUGGAUAUUCUUUUCCUUGCUUAUUGUGAGUCACUUUGUACUUGCAAAGGUGAAACAUGGAAAGCAUUAUGCUUGCUCUAUAAGGGAAUUUUAUCUGGGUCAUCUAACUUUGAAAAGCUGGCAAUAUCAACUGAAGCACUACAUUCUUCUUACCAAGCCAAAGUUCAGCUUCUUCUAAUUCUAAUAGAAACCCUAGACCUGGAAAGUCUUCUUCGAAUGGUCCAUGAUGAAAUACCUUUCAGGAAUGGUGAAUCUGCUAUUACUUUGGCUGAUAUCCAAGAGAUUGAAGCAAUAAUUUCAACGUUAAAUGCGUUUGAAACAAAAGAGGCGGGCCCAUUAAUUCUUGCAUGGGCAGUGUUUCUUUGUCUGAUUUCAUCACUUCCGGGCAAAGAAGAAAAUGACAUACUAAUGGAAAUUGAUCAUGUUGGUUACGUUCGCCAAGCAUUUGAGGCGUCAUCUUUGACUUAUUUUGUAGAAAUCCUUGAAAGUGAUGUGUUGAAGGAAUCUGAUGGGCCUGUUGCUGGUUAUCUGAGUGUGUUGAGAACUAUUAUAUCUGCAUUUAUCGCAGCUUAUGAGAUCAAUCUCCAGAUGGAAGAUGGCACUCUUAUGUUAAUACUGGAUAUUCUUUGCAAAAUCUAUCAGGGAGAGGAGUCACUUUGUAUCCAGUUCUGGGACCGAGGAAGUUUUAUUGAUGGUCCUAUCCGGUGUCUUCUUUGCAACUUAGAGAGUGAAUUUCCUUUCAGGACUGUGGAGCUUGUUCGCCUUCUAUCAUCCCUUUGUGAAGGAACUUGGCCUGCUGAAUGUGUGUACAACUUUCUGGAUAAGUCUGUUGGGGUAUCAUCCUUGUUUGAGAUUGCGAACAAUUCCUUUAGGGAUGUCCUCUCUCAAACUGUUGAGACGAACUUCCCAUUGCAUGUUCCUGGACUUGAAGGAUUGGUCAUUCCCAGUAAAACUUGUGGCAGUAUAUUGAGAUUAGUUGGUGAAAAUACUGCUCUUGUUCGAUGGGAGUAUACACAAUCGGGGGUGCUAGUGUUGCUCAUGCGCUUGGCCCAAGAGCUAUAUUUCAAAAGAAAUGAAGAAGUUCUUCUUAUCCUCAACCUGCUUAGCAGGAUGGUUACCUUUAGCAUGGCUGUGUGCUUUGCCUUGAUGGAUAUUGGGAGCUCUUUGCAUUUCCAAUCAACUGGCAUGAGUGGGCAGAAUAACAUGUGGGUGGUUGAGAUGAUUAGCACUUUAGUGAGAAGGUUAUCUCCUACUCCUAGUGGUGCUGCUCUAAUGUCCGUGGCUAUAAACACUUUGGCAAAGAUGUUAAAAUGUUCCCCUUUUCAUGUUGCUGAGGUGGCCUUAAAAGCAAAUAUGUUUGAUUUUGAGAUUGGCAACAAUGGUUCAUCAAGUGAAUCAUGGCUACUUUCUGGAAAACUGGCGAAGAUGCUUAUAAUUGACUGUGAACAUAAUGAUAGUGACUGCACAUUGACUAUAUCAGUGCUGGACUUUACUCUGCAGUUCAUGGAAUCAGGUGUGAAGAAUGAUGGUGUACUGGCUUUAAUUGUUUUCUCUCUUCAGUAUGUUCUAGUUAACCACGUGUACUGGAAAUACAAGUUAAAGCAUACUAGAUGGAGAGUGACAUUAAAGGUGCUUGAAGUGUUGAAAUGGUGUAUUACAUCAACUUGCUCUGGAAACCUGGAUGAAGUCAUCCUGGACAGGAUAUUCUGUGAUUCAUCCAUCCAUAAUACUCUCUUUCAGAUUGUUUGUACAACACCACAAACAUUAGAGAGACUAUGCUCCAGUCGUCUUAUUGAGCUAACAGAGGUUGAAGGUUUACAGCUGGCUAUAUGUUCUGUUCUAGAUGUUCUUUUCAUCAUGCUCUCCAAAUUUACUAAGGAUACAUCGUCCAGCCUUCCAAUUUUUCACCAAGCAGUUUUCUCCUCAGCUACAAAACCUAUUCCUUUAGUUGCAGCUCUUGUAUCAUUCAUAUCUUAUUCUCGCAAUCCGCAAAUUCAAGUUGGUGCUGCUAGGGUUCUGUCAGUGUUCUUGAUGAGUGCAGAUAUUAUCCAACCAUAUUUGUUUGGAAGCAGCUUUGGCCUAGAUGAUACACAGAUUGGAGAUCUGAGGCAUGGAAUUAGUGACAUAAUACUUGAGCAGUCAGUACUGAAUGAAGAUCUCUUUGUUGCUGUAGUCAACCUGCUCACUUCUGCUGCACGUUAUCAGCCUGCUUUUCUUGUUGCUGUGUUAUCCACCAAAGUGAAUAAAGAUGUCCAACUGAGUAAUUCUGCUGAUGUGAAGCUGCCAACAAAUGAAGUUCUAUCGAGGUCGUCUGAGUUUGAAAAAGCAAGUGUUGUGGAUGCAGUGCUGCAUCAUGUUAGAAGAUCUAAUGAUCUUAUCAACAGCAAUCCCCGUAUACUUCUGAAUGUUCUCAACUUUCUAAGAGCUCUGUGGCAAGAUGCUGCUCGGUACUUGGAUAUUUUAGAAUGCGUGAAACGCUCUGAAAAUUUCUGGAGAAACUUGUCUAGUUCUAUUACAGUAAUUUUGAGUGCGAAAGCUUGUCCACCUGAGAAUUUAACUGAGGCCGAAGCUGAUGAUUUCGGAUAUAGAUAUCAGUGUGAAUCUUCGAUAUUAGAAAUAAUGGCGCAUGAUGUGUUCCUGCAAAAGAAACUGUUACAUGCAGAGUCACUUGUAAAACAAGCGACUGAAUCACAGGGCAAGAUACAGAAUACAGGGAGAACUGAAAAAUCUGAAGGAGAAAGUCUAGAGGAUAUUUUAUCAGCCUGGUGUGGAAGCUCAGUUUGGGGCAAUCUGACCAAGUCACUAAGUCAUAGUGAAUAUGACACCAGUCUAUAUUUGCGGGCAAAGGUUGCUGCCAGUUCAGUCACCGCCCUUGUCAUGGUGAAAUUAGCACAGGGUGAUGCUGGAAGUUUGUCCGUGCCAUUAUUUGAGAAGUCCCGCAUCCUUUCAAAUAAGCUCAGAAGUCAUCCUGCUUUUUCGGAAGUGUUAGCUAAAUACUCACUGCGUAGUUACAGUGCAGAGAAGGAACAAAAUUAUUUGAUACUCAGCGAUCUUUAUUAUCAUCUGCAAGGGGAGGUAGAAGGCCGUGAAAUUGGUGCUGGAUCGUUUAAAGCACUCUCUCGGUUCCUAAUUGAAUCAAACAUUUUUCAGACAUACCAACUAAAGUAUGAUGGCGAUCUUUUUAUAACUGGCAAAGAUGCAUACAUGUUUGAUCUGGAACGUAUAAGAGCUGAUUUGGGAUUAGAUUUUUGGGAUUAUUCAACGUGGAAGGAUUCAAAGGCGAUUGCUGAAACAAUGUUGCAUCACAUGAAAAAUGUGAACUCAAUGGUAUUCCUCACAAGCUCGAAACUUUCCGCACUGAGAGCAUUAAGAAGUGUUCUAACUGUAUACUUGGAUGAUUCACUGGAGGCGAAGAGCACAGCGCAAGAGAUGUCUGAUCAACUGGUUUUCCCAUGCAUAGAUCACAUAUGCCAGAAUUUCCUUGAUACAGUAGAAUUAUUGGCUCCAGAACUUGGUGCCUCUGAAGAAAUCUUUCACUUCCUUGCAGCUCAAGCAGAAUUGCUUCUAUACCUUAUGAUUUCUGCACACAAGAGCUUGCCUCCAUCUGUUUGCAUUCUUGUGCUAAAAACAUCAGCUGCUGGCCUCAAAGUGUUGAGUGAUUUCCAACCAUUAGUUACUGGGUCAUCAGUUUCUGUGGUUAGCUCUACAGUCAAGCUGUUACUGAUGCUGCUUCUCUCAGCAGUGAAGUUAAGUUUGGUUGGGGGAAGAGAUAUGGUAUCUGUUGAAGACAUGGCUAAAAUAUCUAAUAUGAGUCUACGUCUGCUACCAAUUCUCUGUAACCAUAUUGCUAGUGCUGAGGAUUGCAGACUCUCGCUCACUAAUAUGGACUUGAUAUUGAGAAAUUUCUUGACUCCCAACACUUGGUUUCCCCUCAUACAGAAUCACCUCCAGCUUCAGCAUGUUAUUCUGAAACUUCAAGAUAGGAAGUCUCUCGAGUCUGUGCCUAUUAUAAUGAAGUUCUUUUUGACUCUUGCUCGUGUGAGGCAGGGUGCAGAGAUGCUUAUAAAUCACGGAUUUCUAUCGUCUCUGAGAUUCUUGUUUACUGAAUACUUGGAUGAUAGGUCUGCUUCAGUAACAAUGGCGAAUAGUCUUUCCAACUCAUCUGACAUAAUGGAAAAGCCUAAACGAAUAUGGGGACUGGGUUCAGCUGUCAUCACAGCUAUGGUUCAGUCACUAGGAGACAGUUCUGCUUGUUCUGAUGUUGUGGAGAAUGUAAUACCCUACUUCUUUUCCGAGAAAGCAUAUAUCAUUUCAUACUAUCUCAGUGCACCGGAGUUCCCAUCUGAUGAUCAUGACAAGAAAAGACUUCGUGCUCAGCAGAGACAAACCUCCCUUACUGAGCUUAAAGAAACUGAGCACACUCUCAUGCUAAUGUGUGUGCUGGCAAAACAUUGGAAUACAUGGGUUAAGGCCAUGAAAGAAUUGGAUUCCCAGUUGAGAGAGAAAAGCAUCCAUCUUUUAGCAUUCAUCAGCAGGGGAACUCAACGCCUUGGAGAAACUGCAAGUUCUAGUGCCCCACUCAUAUGUCCUCCUAUGCUUAAAGAUGAAUUAAAUAGUUGCAAGAAACCCUCGUUUGUCAACAGUAGUUGUGGAUGGUUUGCUCUUUCACCACUUGGUUGUGUUUCAAAACCAAAAGUGUCAGCUGCCUCAAUCACAUCAAUGGCGCUGACUACUAAAACUCAAGCAACUGCAAAUGGAUAUCACAUUUCCCAAUCGCACUUCUCAGACAUUAUUGCCCUGCAGAUUUACAAAAAUACUUUUCUCUUAUUGAAGUUUCUCUGUUUACAAGCUGAGUGUGCUUCUAGAAGGGCAGAGGAGGUGGGAUUUGUUGAUCUUGACCAUUUUCCUGAGCUUCCAAUGCCUGAGAUCUUGCAUGGCUUACAGGAUCAAGCAAUUGCCAUCAUUACAGAAGUGUGUGAAGCUAACAGAGUGAAGGAGAUUCAAAUCGAAGUCCAGUCUAUAUGUUGUUUAUUGCUACAAAUAAUGGAGAUGGCGAUGUACUUGGAACUUUGUGUUCACCAGAUAUGUGGCAUAAGACCAGUGCUAGGGCGUGUAGAAGAUUUUUCGAAGGAAGUUAAACUGUUGAUAAAAGCAACGGAGACGCAUGCUUUCAUGAAACCGUCUCUGAAGUCCUUGAAGCAGAUAAUGGUGGUUGUCUAUCCCGGAUUGGUACAGGCAGAGGACUUUUUGUGAGAUAGGUCUUAGAUUCUUAGUGUGCAUAGGUGAAAGCAGUAGAGUUGUAAAGAAGGCCAGAAUUUGGCAUAACCUUCUUCUCUGGCAUUUCUUGUAACACGAAUAGCUAAUUCACUCUCUGUUCUAGACUUCUAGAUUACAAUUUAGAAUAUAUCUGUUCAAUCUGUCACAUG